GCCGGGUGUGGUGGCUCACACCUGUAAUCCCAGCACUCUGGGAGGCCGAGGUGGGUGGAUCACCUGAGGUCAGGAGUUUGAGACCAGCCUGGCCAACAUGGUGAAACCCUGUCUCUA
rnacentral:SRP_RNA from 1 species